rnacentral:lncRNA from 1 species
CCAAGUGCUGGGCUUAAAGGCGUGCGCCACCACUUAAAAUCAAGACUGUUAUAUCUUUUAAAAGGGGGAAGCGGAGAGGGUAGGAACAAGAGCUGAAGAGACAACCUUCACUGGAUCUGCAGUUUAGAUACACUGCCCCUAGCAGUUACACAGGACCACAGAGGAAUGGAAGUUUGUCUACCGAAGAGGUGAAGAGGCCGAUCAAGUGGGUUUGUUGACCAGGCUUGUCAUUAGUACUACUGAGGAGGAUUGAGUACUGGAAUGUUAACAAGAGAGGGCGGUCAUCACAGAAGAAAAAGAAACACGACCCCUGUACUAAUAAGGAAUAUAAUUUGGAAUCUGGAGAAAUCUGGAGUAAGAAUGCUUACCAUUCAAGGUAGAGGACUGAAGAAUGACUCUCACCCUCACUGGGCAGCCUACAAUCACUUGACUGAAAGAUCUCAUUUGAUCAGGAUUCAGUACUACGUGUAUAUUCUAA